GCUGCCGUGGUGUAGUGGUUAGCAUUGGAGCCUGUGGAGCUCCCGGCCCGAGUUCAAAUCUCGGCGGCGGCC
rnacentral:tRNA from 1 species